UCAGCUUCAUUCUUCAACAAAAAAAAACUGAGGGGUCUCUCAAAUCCUCUCAACCCGCUCUUAGGCUGGCCAUAGUCGCCGUCGUGGCUCCGCCGUGGGCGAUGGCGUGCGACUCAAUGGUCAUUUUUUACCCCAUUUUAAAAAAGGCCAUUUGAAGACCGAGCCUUCUUAGCCCCAAAGGCUGAAGAAAAAGAGACCUCUGCGCCCUCCCUCGGCUAGAUUUCUGCGGCCUCAAAGGGGCUCCGGCGACGAGACCCGCGGCGCGAUUCCAGGUGUCAGGAGCGUGCAACGCGCGUGGAGGACCAGCGAUAGGCGAGCGGCAAAGGUGGCGGUGGCAGGAAUGGCAAAGGCUAGGGGCAGGCAUGCGGCGCCUAGGGUUUUCUGCUGCAAACAUUUUGUUUUUCAUUUGGGCUAGGGUUUCUGUUAUUGGGCUAGGAUUUGGGUAGUGGGUUUGUUUUUGGAUCUUAUUUGUUUAUUUUUGGGCUUUUAGCCCGGGCAAAAAUUGGGCUACUACACUCAUCUUCAUGAUUGAAAAGAAAAUAGUUAGACAAAUAAAUGAUAAUGCAAAUCAAAGCGGUAGAGGGAAAUGUUAAUUCAAAUAAAUAAUAUUUGGUAAUCUCUAUCUUUCUCUCA